rnacentral:rRNA from 1 species
CCUACGGGAGGCAGCAGUGGGGAAUAUUGGACAAUGGGCGCAAGCCUGAUCCAGCAAUGCCGCGUGUGUGAAGAAGGCCUUCGGGUUGUAAAGCACUUUUGUCCGGAAAGAAAUCCUGUGUUUUAAUACAGUGGGGGGAUGACGGUACCGGAAGAAUAAGCACGUUAUUUUUU